UCUGGUGGCAAUAGCGAAGAGGUCACACCCGUUCCCAUCCCGAACACGGCAGUUAAGCUCUUCAGCGCCGAUGGUAAUAAGGGGCUUCCCCUUGUGAGAGCAGGACGUUGCCAGGC
rfam:Virgibacillus soli strain PL205 scaffold000024, whole genome shotgun sequence.